UCCGGAGAGGGAGCCUGAGAAAUGGCUACCACAUCCAAGGAAGGCAGCAGGCGCGUAAAUUGCCCGAAUCCUGACACAGGGAGGUAGUGACAAGAAAUAACGAUACAGGGCUACAUCUAGUCUUGUAAUUGGAAUGAGUACAAUUUACAUCUCUUAACGAUGAUCAAUUGGAGGGCAAGUCUGGUGCCAGCAGCCGCGGUAAUUCCAGCUCCAAUAGCGUAUAUUAAAGUUGUUGCAGUUAGAACGCUCGUAGUCGGAUUUCGGGGCAGUCCGACCGGUCUGCCGAUGGGUAUGCACUGGUUGGAGUGUCCUUUCUGCCGGAAACCGUGCCUACUCUUAACUGAGCGGGGGCGGGAGACGGCACUUUUACUUUGAAAAAAUCAGAGUGUUUCAAGCAGGCAGCUCGCUCUUGCAUGGAUUAGCAUGGGAUAAUGAAAUAGGACUUUGGNGCUAUUUUGUUGGUUUCGAACACCGAAGUAAUGAUUANNAGGGACAGUCAGGGGC
rnacentral:rRNA from 1 species